rnacentral:rRNA from 1 species
CCAGACUCCUACGGGAGGCAGCAGUGGGGAAUAUUGCACAAUGGGGGAAACCCUGGUGCAGCGACGCCGCGUGAGCGAUGAAGUAUUUCGGUAUGUAAAGCUCUAUCAGCAGGGAAGAAGAUGACGGUACCUGACUAAGAAGCCCCGGCUAACUACGUGCCAGCAGCCGCGGUAAUACGUAGGGGGCAAGCGUUAUCCGGAUUUACUGGGUGUAAAGGGAGCGUAGACGGCGAUGCAAGCCAGAUGUGAAAGCCCGCGGCUCAACUGCGGUAGUGCAUUUGGAACUGUAUGGCUGGAGUGCAGGAGAGGCAGGCGGAAUUCCUAGUGUAGCGGUGAAAUGCGUAGAUAUUAGGAAGAACACCAGUGGCGAAGGCGGAUGACUGGACGGCAACUGACGGUGAGGCGCGAAAGCGUGGGGAGCAAACAGGAUUAGAUACCCCGGUACCC